rnacentral:rRNA from 1 species
GGAGGAUGCAAGCGUUAUCCGGAUUCAUUGGGGUUUAAAGGGGUGCGUAGGCGGCUUUUUAAGUCAGUGGUGAAAUCCUGCCGCUUAACGGUAGAAUUGCCAUUGAUACUGAAGGGCUUGAGUGCAGUUGAGGUAGGCGGAAUGUGUAGUGUAGCGGUGAAGUGCUUAGAUAUUACACAGAACACCGAUUGCGAAGGCAGCUUACUAAGCUGCAACUGACGCUGAUGCACGAAAGCGUGGGGAUCAAACAGGAUUAGAUACCCUGGUAGUCCACGCUGUAAACGAUGCUCACUCGCUGUUUGCGAUAUACCGUAAGCGGCCAAUCGAAAGAAUUAAGUGAGCCACCUGGGGAGUACGAUCGCAAGGUUG